rnacentral:snRNA from 1 species
GCCUAACAAGGGGAGACAUCCAAUAAGAUUGGAACGAUAUAGAGAAGAUUAGCAUGGCCCCUGUGCAAGGAUAACACGCAAAAAUCGAGAAAUGGCCCAAAUUUUU